rnacentral:rRNA from 1 species
ACGUUAGCGGCGGACGGGUGAGUAACACGUGGGUAACCUACCUAUAAGACUGGGAUAACUCCGGGAAACCGGGGCUAAUACCGGAUAAUACAUGAAACCGCAUGGUUUCAUGAUGAAAGACGGUUUUGCUGUCACUUAUAGAUGGACCCGCGGCGUAUUAGCUAGUUGGUAAGGUAACGGCUUACCAAGGCAACGAUACGUAGCCGACCUGAGAUGGUGAUCGGCCACACUGGAACUGAGACACGGUCCAG